GACGAUAGAUGAUCUGGUUCUUCACGAAACCGAGAAGGUUUUUCACGCCGUCGAUCGAUGUGCUGGCCGGAACGGUCGGCCGCCGGCGGGGCGGGUGUGUGGUUGGCAUGUCACCAUGCGUAUGGCUCUGGCUAGCUACCUGCAGCAAGUCACAGCUGCUGUGCUAGCUCUAUCUGUAGCUCACGUACGCAUCGCGUCCGCCAUCGCCAAUUCGCCAUGCAGGUACAGCUAGAUGUACGAGCACAGUAGGGGUGAUACUUACACGAUUCCUAGCAGCUAGCAACCUAGCAUUACUUUAUAUCUGAUUGCUUAGACACUCGAAAAAUCCUACUUUAUUUAUAUCUGAAUCUGAUGAUUGCUAACACACUCUCCAUCUUCUUUUUUUUAAAGGAAGCGGCAAAAGACUUGCCUCUUCAAUAUAUUAGAAGAGAAAUAGAUAACAGACUUCAGAAGACGGAGCAAAAGAAAAAAACGAAAAGAAGAAAAAACAUACACUAACUCAAUCUAACAUACACUGCAACUUCCAAUUUGAUCUUUCACCAAUUGCGUAACCUGGAUAGCAGGUCGUUGAAGUCUCUGAAAGAUUCUGUUAUUUCUUUCCAACCA
rnacentral:lncRNA from 7 species